rnacentral:rRNA from 1 species
UGGGGAAUCUUGCACAAUGGGGGAAACCCUGAUGCAGCGACGCCGCGUGAGCGAUGAAGCCCUUCGGGGUGUAAAGCUCUUUCGGCAGGGAAGAUUAUGACGGUACCUGCAGAAGCAGCUGCGGCUAACUACGUGCCAGCAGCCGCGGUAAUACGUAGGCAGCAAGCGUUGUUCGGAGUUACUGGGCGUAAAGGGUGCGUAGGCGGUUCUGUAAGUAUGGUGUGAAAUCUCCCGGCUUAACUGGGAGGGUGCGCUAUAAACUGCGGGGCUAGAGUGUGGGAGAGGAAAGUGGAAUUCCUGGUGUAGCGGUGAAAUGCGUAGAUAUCAGGAGGAACACCGGUGGUGUAAACGGCUUUCUGGACCAUAACUGACGCUGAAGCACGAAAGCGUGGGUAGCAAACA